ensembl:lncRNA
CUUCCUCAAUGGAAAUUACCGAAGCAAAACACUUGCAAAGACUGGUGUCUCCCUUUUGACAUUCAAUCACCUUCUCGGGGGUGACAGACAAAAGAAUGUAACGUAAUUGGGGCGUGAUUUUGCUUUCCCAUGCCUUAGUUGUUUUUACGGGGGUAAAAACCGUCAGCCUUGCAGAAGGAAUACGAUGCAUUGUCUGCUACCUCAACAUUCUCAAAAAUGGAACUACACAAUUCCACCACAUCUCCCAGCUUGCGAGAUUGUGCCCUCGUUAACACAAGCAGGAAAAACAUGGGGAAAUGCUUGAACCAAUUUAUCAUCUGCAGUUUUGACAUCUGGGUUGUCUACUACUUCUAACACAGGAGUUACGUUACCACCAGCGAUAUUGUUCUCUAGUAGCAAUGGGACUCCUUUUACAGGCAGUGUUGACACUACACCAACACGGAAACGUCCUGAUACCAAGUCUGACACUAAGUGGACCCAGUGUAAUGGUAGAGGUAUGUUUUUUUUGUCUCUAUACCCUGUAAUAUGACAUGCGAGCCACAAUAGGUUUCAGGGGACCGGGUAAAAGCGUCAGUAAUGAUUACUGACUGCACAGUCCUGGUGUCUUGUAAGAGUUGAUCUGCUUGUUCUCCAGUUAAGGGAACAACCAGCAGAUAUAAAACAGAGCAUAGAUAGGAUCCGGUUUCCCAAAUGCUUAAUCAGUAACUCGGUCCAACGGACGAGCCAAAGACGGUACUAAAACCCACGCUUUUUAAUUUAGGGGAUGGUGACAGGGAUUGUUUCGGUUUAUUUUGCAAAACUGGGCAGUCCGCAAUCACGUGACCCUUUUGGUGAAAUCCUGCGACGGCUAGGGUCGUUGUAGGAAAAGAAAAAAAACCUGAACGAGGCACUGAAGAUGUUAGGCUUUCAAAAUGAAGCACACCAGCGUACUCAUCUGCCAACACUGCUGCCUGGGCCAAUGUCGCCACUUUCUGUUCAUUUCAAUGAACUACUACUCUCAGGCAGGUUGCUUUUAAAAUCCUCCAACAGCAUCAACUUCCGAAUAUCAAAGGUGUUAGCGUAACGGGCCGAACACCAGCGAUUGAACAGACUUUUUGUCCCUAGCAAACUCAACAAAAGUACGGUGAGAGGGUUUGUGGUUCCUGAAGCGCUGCCUUUAAGCUUCAGGCACCAACUCAUAAGCCCGCAACACGUUUGUUUUAACUAUAUCGUAUAGUGUAAACUUGUCUUCCAGGGAGAAAGCGGCUAUUACUUCCUGGGCUUUUCCAGACAAUUUACAUUACAACAGGAGCGGCCAAUGCAGCGCAGCGGCCACAUGCUAAAACGCAGAGAAAUAGGAAUCAGCUUCCGAAAUGGAAGGACUAAUGCAAUAUUUUUACUCACUUCAAAGUAGGCUUGAUGAUGGGUAGGUUGUGGAGUUAUCGGAUCCUCACCUCCUUGUCGGCUUAUAUGGCCAUUUUCCUCAUUUCUAAAUCAAACUCCAGCUGGAUAAACACACUUUAUAUUUUAGCUCCAUUUCCAAACAGGUCAGCACCACCUUUAGCCUAGCGGUCCCAUCUGAACAACCCGAAGCAGAAGAUAAAGGGUUGAAAUCGGGGCAAUGUAGAGGAGAAAGCUGAGUUGCUAUGGGAACAGGAACUGUAUGUUCCAUUUUGUUACUCUGUAUCUGCCCCUACUGCCACACCUUCCCUGCAAAUGACUGCCAGGUGAGCCUGAACUUUGCAGCUGAGGCAGAGAGGUUCUGUGCAGCCUUGGAGAGACAGAUCCAACAAGCCCCAGAUUUGGAAAGCAACACACACACACACACACACGUCACAUCACAUUUACAAUAUAAUUAGUUCUCUCAGCUUCAGGCAGGCCAGUCCUCUUCUCUUUCUCCCCUCGUCUCCUCUUCCCCGAUCUCGCUGUCUCACGUCACUCUUUCUCAUUUUCUCCCCAUAACACUUUAUUUUACUCUUUAUCUCUUGCUGUCUCUCUUCCUCUCCCUCUCUUUCUCAAACAGAGCUAGUGGGCAGACUCAGCUGAACCGUACUGACAGUGUGGACUCUGCCUCAGGCUGUUUGUGUGAACAGGAACAGAGCCGAUCUGGGAUCAGCACUCCAUCUCCAGAUGUGUCAGAACGAGAAAUAUAUAGGCCAACAUCAGCACACUGGAGCUUAUACAGACCCAGAUAAUUCAUUAUUAGAUGCAUUUUAUGAUGCUGCAUUAGAAUGGAAGAAAAUAUAAAUGGCUGUCUGACUGAUUUAAUCUUGUCUCUUAUCCAGACGGUAGUCCCAGGUGGGAGUGGGCCCAGAGCAAGGCCUCAGUUCUAGUGAGCUGGACCCUGCUCUGAGGAAUCUGCUCAGGAAGGCGGGGCUAAACAAGGAGGAUAUGAAGGACAGACACACCCUCCUCCUAGAGGGGCACACCCUGAGAUGAUCAGAAAGAGCUUUCAUCUGUGACGCAGUGGUGACCUGUCAUUCAGGGCAGAGCCCCACCUGUUAAGCUUUUUGUUGCCUGUUUUUCAUGUUAUUUUGGCAUUAAUACAUGUCACACAUGUUUGCAAACAAUGUAAAAUAAUAAUUGAGUUAAUAAAGCUACAAAC